rnacentral:lncRNA from 1 species
GCCAUUUCCUUCCCACCUAAGCUCCUGCCAGAUGGCUCCCAGUUGCUGUGUUUGAGCCCAGGCUGACCACUUCCUAGGCAGUGGCGUUGGAGAUGGGUGUGGCCUUGCCUCCAGGAUCUCCUCACAGCUUGUGCUUCCUGACAGCUGUGGACACUUGGGCUGACUGCAGACCUCCCGCUACCCUGAUUUCCAGCAAAGACAGGGUCUUGCUAUGUUGCCCAGGCUGGUCUUGGACUCCUGGGCUCAAGCAGCCCUCCAACCUCAGCAUCCUACAGUGCUGGGAUUACAGGUGUGAGCCAUUAUGCACAGCCCCUUUGGGAUGUUUUAAGCGGGAACAUGAUAUGAUAUAUGAGCAAACCAUUUCAACUGGGGAGAUCAAGGAAGUUUUCAUGUGGUAGAUGCUUUGGAGCUGACUUUUGCAAGAUAUGUAGGAGCUCAAUUGUUAAAGAAUAAGAAGGACCUUCAUGGGAACCGCCGAAGAUGGAAAACACAGAAGAACGAAGGCAUGCACGGUGCCUGGGGAGUGGUAAGCUGCGGGUAUGACAGAAGCUUCAUGUCUUUGAAGGAAUGACUGGAAAAGCUAAGGGAAGCCAAACCAUGAAGAGCUGAACCACCACACUGGAGGGUCUAGGUUUUAUCAAGUGGAAAGUCAGAGUUUUGGGGAAAGGGUAUAGCAUGAUCUUAUCUGCAACUUGAGUCCUGAGAUUUCCACCAGAAGUGGCCCAGCCAUUUCUAGCUUCUGGCAUCCAUAUCCAGUUGUACAGCCGGGGAUUUUAAACAAGGAUUGCUGCAUAACUUGUAUUACUGAGAAAGAAACUAUUGCUUGGUUCCCCUUUUGGCGUGGGAGUGUCUUUGGUCAUCAUUGUACGUUGGGGUUGGUUGCGUUGAUUCCUAUGAAACAGAAGAAUUGCAACAUCUUAAUCCCACAAAGCAGUGGGAUCUAGACGUUCUCCUCCUGCUCUGCCAUUGAUCAUGGAUGAGGCUGCACUACUGGGGGAGUCUCCCAAGCAAGCAAAUGAAAGCUAAAUUUAUUAUGCAUUUGGAAAAGUGAUAGCUGCAUUGAAUUCUCAAGUUUGAGAUUUCUUGGUCUCUAAAACCCAGUAGGUAACUGAAACAAUUCUAAAUUUUCAAGUUCCCACUUCAUGGAAAAAUCUUAAACAUCUUCCUAGGAUAGCAUUUUUAUGGCAUGGAGAAUGUGCUUGAAUGGUACCAAAUGGUUGAACCUCUGCAGAAGAAAGUAGCCAUUCUGCAAAGGGAACGGGAGGACCAGUUUGUUAAAUAUACAUUGUAGCUUGGAACACUUAAGCCAUGGAAAUAAAGCAAAAAUACAUGCUGAGUGUUUCUUCCUAGGACACGCUCUGAAGGUGAAGAUGUAAGAGGAAAUCAGUAUUGUUUUGAGAUUCUUGAGAUAUUCUCUGUAUAUGUGACAGUAAUUUUUUAAAAAAUGUGUAUGGUUUGAGAAUUGAGGAAGAUGUUCUCUCCUUGAAGUGCCUGAAGGAAGGGAAAACGUGAAAAUGGGAAGUAGAUUUUAUUAAGUAUCUGAUUUGUACAGGGCAUCCCACAUACGGCAUUUUACUCACUCCUAUGACAGUCCUGCAAAGCAAGCUUUACUGAACCCAUUUUAUGGCUGAGGUGGAGGCAGGCAAUUCAUAAAUGGCAGGUCUGAAAUUUGGAUUUAGGGUUGACUGUCUCCACAUCCAUGUUGUUGCAUUAUUCCACUUUUACAGAUGAAGAACCAGAAACAGAGAAUUUCAUUGCUUAAAUGAUGGUGCCAGCUCUCAGGUCCAGGUUGUCUGACCUACUCACCGUAUUGCCUCUGGGGAAUAACGGAGUGAAACCCAAAUAAUCAUAAUAAUACUAACUAAUGUUUAUUGAGCAUGGUGCUAAACUCUGCACAGAUUUUUAUCUCAUUUAACUGUCAUAACCACCCUCUAAGGUAGGUGCUUGAAUAAUUCCCACUGUCUAGAAGAGGAAACUGAGGCUGGGAGCUGAAAUAAUUUAGCCAUGCUCACAUAGCCAGCACAUGCUAAAUCUGUGAUUCAAACUUGGGCAUUCUGUCUCUAAAACCUGUGAGCAAAGCUCCAUUGCCACACAGCCUGGCUCUCAACAACCCACCCAGAGAAGCUCUUUGAAAGAGCUCUCCCUGCUCCCACUGAGAUGAUGCUUCUGUUUCUCACUAACACAGCUCCUGGGUCUAGUGUUUCCUUUUAGAUCCGUUUUGUCCUGCAUAUAAAGAUACUGUUUACGUAUGUCGUCUCAGGCUGUGGGAAAUGCCAUCCCUGUGUUCCCCUUGACCAACUCCUAAUUCAGAAGGUUUUGUUCUAAGCAUCCUGUAAGAGUUCGAGUAAGCUUAAUUUACAUGGCCAUAAGCCAUAAAACACAGUUUCUUUUUGGAUAGGUUUCAUUUACUGACUUGCAGGAUAGAUGACUCAUAAAUAAAUUGCUCCUUUUCCUUGUCGAUUUCUGUCCCUAUCUUUGGGAAUGCAUGGUUGCUUUAAAUAUCUGCAAAGAAAAGAAAUUGGAUUCUGUGUUAGUGGCACUGCUGGUUCUCUUUCUUUCUCUCUCUCUCUCUGGCACAUUCUGAAUAUUUUACCCUUUUUCCCAGCAUGGAAAUCUUUAUAGUCCUAAUAGAAUUAUUUCUUGUAUGGUUCUUUAUGCAAAAUGACAUUAUUAAUAUUAAAAUGA